rnacentral:rRNA from 1 species
GACGAACGCUGGCGGCGUGCUUAACACAUGCAAGUCGAACGGAAAGGCCCUGCUUUUGUGGGGUGCUCGAGUGGCGAACGGGUGAGUAACACGUGAGUAACCUGCCCUUGACUUUGGGAUAACUUCAGGAAACUGGGGCUAAUACCGGAUAGGAGCUCCUGCUGCAUGGUGGGGGUUGGAAAGUUUCGGCGGUUGGGGAUGGACUCGCGGCUUAUCAGCUUGUUGGUGGGGUAGUGGCUUACCAAGGCUUUGACGGGUAGCCGGCCUGAGAGGGUGACCGGCCACAUUGGGACUGAGAUACGGCCCAGACUCCUACGGGAGGCAGCAGUGGGGAAUAUUGCACAAUGGGCGGAAGCCUGAUGCAGCAACGCCGCGUGCGGGAUGACGGCCUUCGGGUUGUAAACCGCUUUCGCCUGUGACGAAGCGUGAGUGACGGUAAUGGGUAAAGAAGCACCGGCUAACUACGUGCCAGCAGCCGCGGUGAUACGUAGGGUGCGAGCGUUGUCCGGAUUUAUUGGGCGCAAAGGGCUCGUAGGUGGUUGAUCGCGUCGGAAGUGUAAUCUUGGGGCUUAACCCUGAGCGUGCUUUCGAUACGGGUUGACUUGAGGAAGGUAGGGGAGAAUGGAAUUCCUGGUGGAGCGGUGGAAUGCGCAGAUAUCAGGAGGAACACCAGUGGCGAAGGCGGUUCUCUGGGCCUUUCCUGACGCUGAGGAGCGAAAGCGUGGGGAGCGAACAGGCUUAGAUACCCUGGUAGUCCACGCUGUAAACGGUGGGUACUAGGUGUGGGGUCCAUUCCACGGGUUCCGUGCCGUAGCUAACGCUUUAAGUACCCCGCCUGGGGAGUACGGCCGCAAGGCUAAAACUCAAAGGAAUUGACGGGGCCCCGCACAAGCGGCGGAGCAUGCGGAUUAAUUCGAUGCAACGCGUAGAACCUUACCUGGGUUUGACAUGGAUCGGGAGCGCUCAGAGAUGGGUGUGCCUCUUUUGGGGUCGGUUCACAGGUGGUGCAUGGCUGUCGUCAGCUCGUGUCGUGAGAUGUUGGGUUAAGUCCCGCAACGAGCGCAACCCUUGUUCACUGUUGCCAGCACGUUAUGGUGGGGACUCAGUGGAGACCGCCGGGGUCAACUCGGAGGAAGGUGGGGAUGACGUCAAGUCAUCAUGCCCCUUAUGUCCAGGGCUUCACGCAUGCUACAAUGGCUGGUACAGAGAGUGGCGAGCCUGUGAGGGUGAGCGAAUCUCGGAAAGCCGGUCUCAGUUCGGAUUGGGGUCUGCAACUCGACCUCAUGAAGUCGGAGUCGCUAGUAAUCGCAGAUCAGCAACGCUGCGGUGAAUACGUUCCCGGG